rnacentral:rRNA from 1 species
AACACAUGCAAGUCGUACGAGAACUCUUCUGCUUGCAGAAGAUAGUAAAGUGGCGCACGGGUGAGUAACGCGUGGGUAAUCUACCUCUGAAUCGGGGAUAACUCCGCGAAAGCGGAGCUAAUACCGGAUAAUAUUCUUUUUACUUUGGACUAAAAAAUACAAAGGUGGUCUCUACAUGUAAGCUACUGUUUGGAGAUGAGCCCGCGUACCAUUAGCUUGUUGGUGGGGUAAUGGCCUACCAAGGCUGCGAUGGUUAGCUGGUCUGAGAGGAUGAUCAGCCACACUGGAACUGACACACGGUCCAGACUCCGUACGGGAGGCAGCAGUGAGGUAAUUUUGCGCAAUGGGGGAAAACCCUGACGCAGCAACGCCGCGUGAGUGAUGAAGGCCCUCGGGUCGUAAAGCUCUGUCAAGUGGGAAGAAAAUGCUUGAUGUUAAUACCAUCUUGCACUGACGGUACCACUGAAGGAAGCACCGGCUAACUCCGUG